UCUCUUUCUCUCUUAUCAAAAACCCAACCUUAUCACCCUACUAAAUCAGAAAACAAAUCUCUGAAAAAUCAUCAACUAAAACUAAAGAAAUGAUAAGAAUUACUCUCUAUUUUUCUACUAAAUCGUCAUAAAAGUUCACCGAGAACCUUAGAUUUUUAAUGAAAUCAAUGUUAAAAUUGUAAAAACAAGAAGAACCAUCAGAAUUGUAUGAGAAGAAGAAGUAAUUGAAGAAGUUUCUACUCCAAAUCAAUAAAAGAUGAUUCCGAAGAAUCUCUGGCAGCAAAAAAGAAGAAAUACAUUAAAAAAAAAAUAGUAAGCAUAAAAAGAAUGAGCAAGGAGCUAUAAGUUCUACCAAUGGUGAAGAAUUGUAAAGUUCAAUGUUUUGAAAUGCAAACCAGCUUUGGGGACUAUACCUGAAUCAUCUACUUGUUAGAUGUAAUUUUUUGUAGCCAAAUAGUUGAUGUUUUGGAUAGCCAAUUAAGAGACAACAUUUUAUAAACUUGAUUUUAGUUUUUGUUGUAAUGUUUCUGUACCACCACAUAUAUCUCCAAUUGUAAGUUAAGAGACACGAUUUUAGAUUUUUCUCCUAUAGUUUUCUUCCA